UUGGUACUCUCUCCGUCCGGAAAUAGUUGUCAGAUAAAUGCAUAAAAAUGGAUGUAUCUAACUAAAAUACGUCUAGAUACAUCCAUUCCUCCGACAAGUAUUUCCGGAUGGAGGGAGUAUAUA
rfam:Triticum aestivum genome assembly, contig: Triticum_aestivum_CS42_TGACv1_scaffold_273371_3DS